rnacentral:tRNA from 1 species
GCAGCUGUGGUCUACUGGUUAGCGCUUCUGACUUGUAACCAGAGAGUUGCCAGUUCGAACCCGACCAGUAGGA